rnacentral:misc_RNA from 1 species
GUCAAAGGUAAAUAUUAUUUGUCAGUUCCUACUUGCUGGAGAUAAAACUUGUCACAGACGCAAACGACCUUAGAUUUAUCCACGGGGUGGCGUGGAUAUCAAAGAUAUUUUUUUGUUUCCUAUAAAUAGGAGUUAAGGCCACUAGCUUAACCAUCAUCUAGGGUUUGAAAAUUCAAUUCCUAAGUAAAAUCUCCUCCAAAUCCUAAAGAAGAUGUCUUGCUGCGGAGGAAAGUGUGGCUGUGGCU